rnacentral:lncRNA from 1 species
GGCUAAGGUGCCUUAUGCAUCCACUAUUAGUAGCUAGAUGUAUGUCAUGGUGUUUACCGGACUAGAUAUAGCUCAUGUAGUGGUAAUUGUGAACCAAUAUAUGAUUAAUUUAGGAAUAAAGCAUUGGGAAGCUAUAAAGUAGCUACUUAAAUAUCAGCAAGGUACCUAGGUAUGUCAAUUUAUUCUAUGAAACCAAUGUGAUUUUGCAAGUUUUUCUCGAUGCAGAUCUGGGUGGUGACUUAGACAAAGGAAAGAGCACCUCGGUUAUGUUUUUACCUUAGUGGCACUUCAGUCAAUUGGAUGUUUAGACUAGAGAAAUUUGUGUCCCUUUAAACGACUGAAUUGUAGUAUGUUGCUAUAUCUAAAGUUGACAAAGAGAUUAUUUGGUUAAAGAAUUCUCUGGACGAGAUAAGCAGCGAGCAUGAUUGUUGUGUUCUUUUCAAGGAUAGUCACUUUACUAUAUAAUUCAAGGACAAAGCACAUUCCUUUGGAGUAUCAUCGUAUCCAUGUGCUUGAUAUAGUCUAAAUGCGUUCAAGAUCAUCCAAUACAAACCAAAGACCUUUCAACAUGAACAUAGUGGGCUAUUACAAAAAUAUCAGAACAAAUGUUGGUAACAACUUUUACUAAUCUGCCAUUUUUAGAUAUGUUUAAUGUAAGGCUGGUGCUCACUUUGAUCCUGCGUCAUUUUGUAGCCUUAAAGAAUUGAUUUAGUUGAUCUUAUGGAGAACUCGGCCAAGAAGCAUAAGGACCUUGUAGCUUUAGCCUUUAGAGAUGCACUUGUGAUAUUGGCCGUGCAGCCCCAAGUGAUGAAUUUAUUAAAAGAAAAUUGGUUAUUGUUGGCAAAGCAUUCUCUCCACCAGCUUCAUAUGUCAGGGAAGUUGGGGGAAGUUAGUAGGAAAAGCUCAUGACGAGUUGAACAGUUAUUACUAGUAUUAGGCUUACAAAUACCAGCGACUUGGGAUUAAAAAAUCUCUCUCUUUCGACAAUCAAGAUGCUUUGUGAUCUAUUUUUAUCUCUGCUUUUGAUUACAUAAUUCUUCUUUUCUCGCAAUUUACUUCUUCAGUACAAUUUACGCUUUGCUUGCAAUCUUUUAUUUUUCUCCGCAUUUAGCUUCGCAUAAAUUCACACUUUGUCGAGUCGCCAUUUCGUGCAAUUUGUGCGUGAGGUAAGGAACCGUGGAGCAAUCUAAGUGGCUCUUGGUGCAAUUUGUCUAUUUCUGCUUGAAUCUAGUCACAUAAUUCGAUUGAUUUAAAGAGAUCUGGAGAUCCAAAUGCUACUCUAGAGGAGCAACGUAGAGCUGAAAUUACGUAAUGGGUUUUGUGUUUGAUAAUAAAGUUACCUUCGCACAAAUCAAGUUAUGUCCGAGUCCUGAGAGGCAGUAAAACCGGAGGAUUACUUUCACAUCUCAACCUGAAUUUAUCAAAAAAAUAUUUCAUAACUGGAACGAGUGUAUCUAUAAUUUCUCGUGAUUGGCAUGGUGAUCUUACCGAUGUACUUCUCCUCUUCAAGCACAAGCCCUUGCACUGAAACAAGCUUUACUUUUUCUCUAGCCCUAAAGGAUGA